CCGGUAGGUACUCGAGUGGCGAACGGGUGAGUAACACGUGGGUGAUCUGCCCUGCACUCUGGGAUAAGCCUGGGAAACUGGGUCUAAUACCGGAUAGGACCAUGCUUUAGUGUGUGUGGUGGAAAGUUUUUCGGUGUAGGAUGAGCCCGCGGCCUAUCAGCUUGUUGGUGGGGUAAUGGCCUACCAAGGCGGCGACGGGUAGCCGGACUGAGAGGUUGGUCGGCCACAUUGGGACUGAGGUACGGCCCAG
rnacentral:rRNA from 1 species